UACGUAGGCAGCGAGCGUUGUUCGGAAUUACUGGGCGUAAAGAGUGUGUAGGCGGUGCUCUAAGUUCGGUGUGAAAUCUCCUGGCUCAACUGGGAGGGUGCGCCGGAAACUGGAGUGCUUGAGCGUGGGAGAGGAAAGCGGAAUUCCUGGUGUAGCGGUGAAAUGCGUAGAUAUCAGGAGGUACACCUGUGGUGUAGACGGCUUUCUGGACCAUAGCUGACGCUGAGACACGAAAGCGUGGGUAGCAAACAGG
rnacentral:rRNA from 1 species